UAAAAGCGAUGACGUAACCUUAAAUGCGUUACAUCCCAAGCAAUUAUCUUAGCAAUUUCAACUGAACUACUGUUUUGGCGAGACAAAUUUUUAAGUAUAAAAUAAACAAAGUUUGGCGGAAUAUUCUCGACUCGUGGAGAAUUCGACUGUUAUCAGAUAAGUUUGUUAAUCCUAUUAUAUCUAUUGCAUCUAUUUGUCAAAUAAUAAUUUUAAUUAAGUUGUUUGUAUUGUAUUUGUAUUGUAACGUCAGUGUUUGUUUUAUAACUAUGUAUUCUGCAGAGAGAAAAGUUUUGCAACUAUAUAUUGAAUGGGAAGAUUGUUGGAAAGAUGAAUGUAACUUUCCUUUAGUUAAGCGAAUAAUUAGCAGUGAUAAAAUCACUAACAAAGUAGGUGCCCAUUUUAUUUUUAUCUUCACAAGUUAAUUAUACCUAUGCAAUACCAUCCAGGUUAAAGAAUGGUAUAUAAGUCUAGCAUCAAAUCGGUGUAAAAAUAUAGCUUACUACUUUGACUUAUGAUAAGAGCAUCUGAUGCCCAUUUGGCUAUUACCAUCAGAAGUUAGUUCUACCUCUGCUCAACAUACCAUCUCUCUGGUUAAAGAAUAGAAUUUAAGUCUCAUAAAUAACAAGUUAUUGUAAAGAUACAGUUUAAAUUAAGAAUUUGUCAAAGCUAUUGUCACUAUUGUGAGUCUGUUAAACAAAAGCUUUUCGUCUGGUUUAGAAUGGAGCCUGAAUCUAUAAUCAACUAGGUGUACAAAGAUCUUUUUCUAAUUAAAGAACUUAUCAGUGGAUCAACUUAUUAUAAAACAGUUUUUUAUGAGAAUAAAAACACAUUACCAAACAA